rnacentral:rRNA from 1 species
AUCGGUGACAGGUGGUGCAUGGCUGUCGUCUAGCUCGUGUCGUGAGAUGUUGGGUUAAGUCCCGCAACGAGCGCAACCCUUAUCAUUAGUUGCUACGCAAGGGCACUCUAAUGAGACUGCCGGUGACAGACCGAGGAAGGUGGGGAUGACGUCAAGUCCUCAUGGCCCUUAUGGGUAGGGCUUCGCACGUCAUACAAUGGUCGGUACAGAGGGUUGCCAAGCCGCGAGGUGGAGCCAAUCCCAGAAAGCCGAUCGUAGUCCGGAUUGUUCUCUGCAACUCGAGAGCAUGAAGUCGGAAUCGCUAGUAAUCGUGAAUCAGAAUGUCACGGUCGAAUACGUUCCCGGGCCUU